AAACUUUCAACAAUGGAUCUCUUGGCUCUCGCAUCGAUGAAGAACGCAGCGAAUUGCGAUAAGUAGUGUGAAUUGCAGAAUUCUGUGAAUCAUCGAAUCUUUGAACGCAUAUUGCGCUCUCUGGUACUCCGGAGAGCAUGCCUGUUUGAGGGUAAUU
rnacentral:rRNA from 1 species